rnacentral:rRNA from 1 species
GCACCACACGGCCACCACUACCGGCCACUAACUCCAGGCCGGCUAACCAGCUAACUACCAGUGCAUGCAUGCGCUAACAACCACACCUAGCAGCCACCAAGUUCGGCCUGGCUAGCUAGCUCCGGCUCUCACGCCUACCCAGCGACACACACGCAUGCCACAAGCACACACAACGCACGCACGCACAUGAACGCAUGGCUUAUUUCUAACA